UUGCACUCACACACCCUAAUUUGUCAAGAAAUAGCUGGAGCAACAGGCUAAUUUGACACUGGAAUACAGAAUGAAGCAGGGCAUAGGCUAACAGAGUUUUGCCAAGAGAACACACUGGUCAUAGCAAACAUCCUCUUCCAACAACACAAGAGAUGACACUACACAUGGACAUAACCAGAUGGUCAAUAUCAAAAUCAGACUGAUUAUAUUCUUUACAGCCAACGAUGAAGAAGCUCUAUACAGUCAGCAAAAACAAGACUGGGAGCUGACUGUGACUCAAAUCAUGAACUCCUUAUUGCCAAAUUCAGAUUUCAGUUGAACUAGGGAAAACCAAUAGACCAUUCAGGUAUGACCUAAAUCAUAUCCCUUACAAUCACACAGUGGAAGUGACAAAUAGAUUCAAUGGAUUAGAUCUGGUAGACAGAGUUCCUGAAAAACUGUGGACAGAAGUUGCUGACACUGUACAGGAAGCAGUGAUCAAGAUCAUCCCCAAGAAAAAGAAAUGUAAAAAGGCAAACUGGCUGUCUGAAGAGGGCUUACAAAUAGCUAUGAAAAGAAGAGAAGUGAAAGGCAAAGGAAAAAAGAAAAAUAUACCCUUUUGAUGCAGAGUUCCAAAGAAUAGGAAGGAGAGAUAGGAAAGCCCUCCUCAGUGAUCAAUGAAAAGAAAUAGAGGAAAACGAGAAUAUGAAAGACUAGAGAUAGCUCCAAGGAAAUUAGAGACACUAAGGGAACUUUUCACACUAAGAUAGGCACAAUAAAAGACAGAAAUUGUAUGGACCUAACAGAAGUAGAAGAUAUUAAGAAGAGGUGGCAAGAAUAUACAGAAGAAUUGUGCAAAAAAGAACUUCACAACCCCAGAUAAUCACCAUGGUGUGAUCACUCACCUAGAGCCAGACAUCCUGGAAUUCGAAGUCAAGUGGGUCUUAAAAGGUGUUUUCAUUCCAAUCCCAAAGAAAGGCAAUGCCAAAGAAUGCUCAAACUACCACACAAUUGCACUUAUCUCACACGUUAGCAAUGUAAUGCUAAAAAUGCUCCAAUCCAGGUCAUGAGUAAAUGAACUGUGAACUUCCAGAUGUUCAAGCUGUACUUAGAAAAGGCAGAGGAACCAGAGAUCAAAGUUCCAGCAUCCCUUGGAUCAUCAGAAAAGGAAGAGAGUUCCAUAAAAACAUCUACCUCUGCUUAAUUGACUACACCAAACCCUUUGACUGUGUGGAACACAACAAACUGUCUACAAUUCUUCAAGAGAUGGGAAUACCAGAGCACCUGACCUGCCUCCUGAGAAAUCUGUAUGCAGGUCAAGAAGCAACAGUUAGACUUGGACAUGGAAUGACAGACUGGUUCCAAAUUGGGAAAGGAGUAAGUCAAGGCUGUAUAUUAUCAUUCUCUUUAUUUAACUGAUAUGCAGAGUACAUCAUGAGAAAUGCUGGACUUGAUGAAGCACAAGCUGGAAUCAAGAUUGCCGAGAGAAAUAUCAAUCACCUCAGAUAUGCAGAUGACACCACCCUUAUGACAAAAAGCAAAGAGGAACUGAAGAGCCUCUUGAUGAAGGAAAAAGAGAGAGAAAAAGCUGGCUUGAAACUGAACAUUUAAAAAAACAAAGAUCAUGGCAUAUGGUCCCAUCAUUCCAUAGCAUAUAGAUAGGGAAACA
ensembl:lncRNA